rnacentral:lncRNA from 1 species
GAAUAGUGCAAUGUGGAAUAGCCAGCCCUCAGGCAUCCAAGUUCAGAGUGAGCUCAAGGGUCACAAAACAUGGCUUGCAAGAGAGGGGCAAAACUUAGAGCUAGGAGUAAGUGAAAAGUGAUUGGGGAACCAUAACAAAUGGUGGUCAUACCAAGCCAUAGGUAUAGGUUGGCACACCCUUGACCAUUUAUUUGGUCAAACAAGUUAGGAGCAGACCCUUGAGGUUUAGGCUUGAUUCUGAAUGAUGAUUAGGACACCACCAGACCCAAGUUAGGGUCAACACAUAAAAGGGGAAAGGGAAGUAGGAAUUGACUGAGUUAAGGAGUUCAAAAAAACCCAGUUCAUGAGUUCAAAAGAACUCAGUUCAGGGCCAUAGAUAGCAAUAGUGGUUCUAUGGCUGGAACUACAACUCACAUACCAAGGGGUAAAAAGGGAAGGGAUUCACAUAAGCAUAUUAUUGGCAGAAACACAAGGAAAGAAAGCAUAAAAGGCUAGGAAAUAAACACAUGGUGAAGGAAAGCAUAGCAGACCAAGAGGUAAACACAUAGUGAAGAGGUCAUUAUUUAACUAG